rnacentral:rRNA from 1 species
CAUGCAAGUCGAACGGCAGCACAGUAAGAGCUUGCUCUUACGGGUGGCGAGUGGCGGACGGGUGAGGAAUGCAUCGGAAUCUACUCUGUCGUGGGGGAUAACGUAGGGAAACUUACGCUAAUACCGCAUACGACCUACGGGUGAAAGCAGGGGAUCUUCGGACCUUGCGCGAUUGAAUGAGCCGAUGCCCGAUUAGCUAGUUGGCGGGGUAAGAGCCCACCAAGGCGACGAUCGGUAGCUGGUCUGAGAGGAUGAUCAGCCACACUGGAACUGAGACACGGUCCAGACUCCUACGGGAGGCAGCAGUGGGGAAUAUUGGACAAUGGGCGCAAGCCUGAUCCAGCCAUACCGCGUGGGUGAAGAAGGCCUUCGGGUUGUAAAGCCCUUUUGUUGGGAAAGAAAAGCAGUCGGUUAAUACCCGAUUGUUCUGACGGUACCCAAAGAAUAAGCACCGGCUAACUUCGUGCCAGCAGCCGCGGUAAUACGAAGGGUGCAAGCGUUACUCGGAAUUACUGGGCGUAAAGCGUGCGUAGGUGGUUGUUUAAGUCUGUCGUGAAAGCCCUGGGCUCAACCUGGGAAUUGCUAUGGAAACUGGGCGACUAGAGUGUGGCAGAGGGUAGUGGAAUUCCUGGUGUAGCAG